rnacentral:rRNA from 1 species
AACGAACGCUGGCGGCAGGCCUAACACAUGCAAGUCGAACGCCGUAGCAAUACGGAGUGGCAGACGGGUGAGUAACACGUGGGAACGUACCCUUCGGUUCGGAAUAAUCAGGGAAACUUGAGCUAAUACCGGAUACGUCCGAGAGGAGAAAGAUUUAUCGCCGAGGGAUCGGCCCGCGUCUGAUUAGCUUGUUGGUGAGGUAACGGCUCACCGAGGCGACGAUCAGUAGCUGGUCNGAGAGGAUGAUCA